rnacentral:rRNA from 1 species
CCUACGGGUGGCAGCAGUAGGGAAUAUUGCUCAAUGGGGGAAACCCUGAAGCAACAACGUCGCGUGGAGGAUGAAGGUUUUCGGAUUGUUAACCCCUUUUGUUAGAGAAGAUAAUGACGGUAUCUAACGAAUAAGCACCGGCUAACUCCGUGCCAGCAGCCGCGGUAAAACGGAGGGUGCAAGCGUUACUCGGAAUCACUGGGCGUAAAGCGGGCGUAGGCGGGAUAGCAAGUCAGAUGUGAAAUCGUUUGGCUUAACCAUAGAACGGCAUUUGAAACUGUUAUUCUAGAGUAUGGGAGAGGUAGGUGGAAUUCUUGGUGUAGGGGUAAAAUCCGUAGAGAUCAAGAGGAAUACUCAUUGCGAAGGCGACCUGCUAGAACAUAACUGACGCUGAUGCGCGAAAGCGUGGGGAGCGAACAGGAUUAGAUACCCUUGUAGUC